GACAUGGACACACAGACCUAGGGACACUGGGAGACAUGGGGACACUGAGACACCAGGGACACUGGCUGGGAGACAUGGGGACACUGAGACACUUGGGAACAUUGUGUCCCUAGUGUCUCAGUGUCCCCAUGUCUCCCAGUAUCCCCAAGUGUCUCAGUGUCCCCAUGUAU